rnacentral:rRNA from 1 species
UACGUAGGGUGCGAGCGUUGUCCGGAAUUAUUGGGCGUAAAGGGCUCGUAGGCGGUUUGUCGCGUCGGGAGUGAAAACCUCGGGCUUAACUCGGGGCUUGCUUUCGAUACGGGCAGACUAGAGGUAUGCAGGGGAGAACGGAAUUCCUGGUGUAGCGGUGAAAUGCGCAGAUAUCAGGAGGAACACCGGUGGCGAAGGCGGGUCUCUGGGCCGAUAUUGACGCUGAGGAGCGAAAGCGUGGGGAGCGAACAGG